GGAAGUGGUUACUGCAAUCCCUGAUUGGAUGCUGGAUUUAAGGUUCAAGCUGCUACUCGUGAUUGUCAGAUCAAGAAUUGAAGAAAACAGAACUAGAUCGGGGGAAGUCGAAAGAAGUUGAGUAGUUGAUUGUGUCCGUCGAAAUUCGAGAUUUUUUUGAAGUUGUUACGAGCUCGGGGAUUCGUCAGUAAAGCUCAUCACACUAUCAAAGAACUACGUUAUCUUAUAAGCUGAAAUUUAUUUUGGGACUAUGGCAUGUAUAGGCUAGCUUUGAAGUUUACUUAAUUAUCUUGUUUUGUUCGGUUUUGGUUGAA